rnacentral:rRNA from 1 species
AGCGAACGCUGGCGGCAGGCCUAACACAUGCAAGUCGAACGGAUCCUUCGGGAUUAGUGGCGGACGGGUGAGUAACACGUGGGAACGUGCCCUUUGGUUCGGAACAACUCAGGGAAACUUGAGCUAAUACCGGAUGUGCCCCUCGGGGGGAAAGAUUUAUCGCCAUUGGAGCGGCCCGCGUCUGAUUAGCUAGUUGGUGAGGUAAAGGCUCACCAAGGCGACGAUCAGUAGCUGGUCUGAGAGGAUGAUCAGCCACAUUGGGACUGAGACACGGCCCAAACUCCUACGGGAGGCAGCAGUGGGGAAUCUUGCGCAAUGGGCGAAAGCCUGACGCAGCCAUGCCGCGUGAAUGAUGAAGGUCUUAGGAUUGUAAAAUUCUUUCACCGGGGACGAUAAUGACGGUACCCGGAGAAGAAGCCCCGGCUAACUUCGUGCCAGCCGCCGCGGUAAUAC